rnacentral:rRNA from 1 species
AUGAAGAAGAUCAAGGCGGCGCGCGGGGGAGCGGCGGCCACGGCGCCGACCGACCUGCUCGUCUGCUUCCCCGGGCGGCAGCACCUGGCGCUGAUGCCCAAGUCCAUGUGCAGCCCGUCCAGGGCCGCCCUGGACAAGGCGGUAGCCGCGCGCCGGAGGCAGCUGCAGUUCCCGGCCGCGCCCGCCGCGCGGUACGGGGGAGGAGGGCGUGGCAGUACUAGUAGCCCGCUGUUCCGCGGCUCUAAGGCGAAGCAGAGUGUCGGGGACGACGAGCCGCAGUCGCCCAAGGUGACGUGCGCCGGGCAGAUCAAGGUCGGCCGGCCAAAGAAGCCGAGACCGGUGGUGGAGAAGCACGGUCCUAAGGGCGACGGCGGCAGUGGCAGCAGGUGGGUCACCGUGGCGGAGGAGAUCGAGCGGCUGCAGGAGCGGAGGAAGAAGGCGAGCUGGCUAGAGACCGUCGGGAUCAGGAGGGACGCGCUGCCCUUCCUCGGCGGCGCGCUCUGGAGCCUUCGGCACAAGGUGAGGUGCUUCGGGUCGUCGCUCCCCGCCGCGGUGGACUCCUCGACGGACGACGACGAUGACGUGGGGGAGCGUGGGCGCGAAUCCACCGCCGUCGGAGGCAGCGCCGCCGCGAGCGUGUUCUCCAAGUGGCUCAUGGUGCUGGAACGGAGCCAUGAACCCCACGAGCAAGACGACAACGACGACAAGCCAGACCAAGAAGACGGGCGGCCGAGCAAUGAGGCGGGAGACGACUGCUCCAAAGCGCCGUCAGUGCCGCCGCCGAACGCUCUGCUCCUAAUGCGGUGCCGGUCGGCGCCGGCGAAGGGCCUGACGAGGAAAGGAGCAGAACCGGCCGGCGAGGAGGCCGCGCAGGAGAAGGGGGGCGUGGAGGAGAAGAGGGACGAGCUGGUGUUCAUGAGAACGGCGCCGGACUUCCUGAAGCUGUCCAUCGACAUCGCCAAGGAGACGUGGGUCGUCGGCGGCGUGGACCCCCUCGCGCGCAGCCGGAGCUGGAAGAGGUGA